GGGGAAUAUUGCACAAUGGGCGCAAGCCUGAUGCAGCCAUGCCGCGUGUAUGAAGAAGGCCUUCGGGUUGUAAAGUACUUUCAGCGGGGAGGAAGGGAGUAAAGUUAAUACCUUUACUCAUCGACGUUACCCGCAGAAGAAGCACCGGCUAACUCCGUGCCAGCAGCCGCGGUAAUACGGAGGGUGCAAGCGUUAAUCGGAAUUACUGGGCGGAAAGCGCACGCAGGCGGUCUGUCAAGUCGGAUGUGAAAUCCCCGGGCUCAACCUGGGAACUGCAUUCAAAACUGGCAGGCUAGAGUCUUGUAGAGGGGGGUAGAAUUCCAGGUGUAGCGGUGAAAUGCGUAGAGAUCUGGAGGAAUACCGGUGGCGAAGGCGGCCCCCUGGACAAAGACUGACGCUCAGGUGCGAAAGCGUGGGGAGCAAAC
rnacentral:rRNA from 1 species